GAUGAACGCUGGCGGCGUGCUUAACACAUGCAAGUCGAACGGAAAGGCUCCUGCUUGCAGGGGUACUCGAGUGGCGAACGGGUGAGUAACACGUGGGUGAUCUGCCCUGCACUUCGGGAUAAGCCUGGGAAACUGGGUCUAAUACCGGAUAGGACGAUGGUUUGGAUGCCAUUGUGGAAAGUUUUUUCGGUGUGGGAUGAGCUCGCGGCCUAUCAGCUUGUUGGUGGGGUAAUGGCCUACCAAGGCGUCGACGGGUAGCCGGCCUGAGAGGGUGUACGGCCACAUUGGGACUGAGAUACGGCCCAGACUGCUACGGGAGGCAGCAGUGGGGAAUAUUGCACAAUGGGAGCAAGCCUGAUGCAGCGACGCCGCGUGGGGGAUGACGGCCUUCGGGUUGUAAACUCCUUUCGCUAGGGACGAAGCGCAAGUGACGGUACCUGGAGAAGAAGCACCGGCUAACUACGUG
rnacentral:rRNA from 1 species